rnacentral:rRNA from 1 species
GGUUUGAUCCUGGCUCAGAUUGAACGCUGGCGGGAUGCUUGCAUAUGCAAGUCGAACGGCAGCACGGACUUCGGUCUGGUGGCGAGUGGCGAACGGGUGAGUAAUGUAUCGGAACGUGCCUAUAGCGGGGGAUAACUACGCGAAAGCGUAGCUAAUACCGCAUACGCCCUUCGGGAAAGCGGGGACCUUCGGGCCUCGGUAAUUAUUAGAGCGGCCGAUAUCGGAUUAGCGAAGCGGUGGGGUAACGGCUCACCAAGGCGACGAUCCGUAGCUGGUUUGAGAGGACGACCAGCCACACUGGGACCGAGACACGGCCCAGACUCCUCACGGGAGGCAGCAGAGGGGAAUUUUGGACAAUGGGGAAACCCCGAUCCAGCGCUAGGCCCCGCGUGUGUGCGAUGAAGGCUUUCGUUGUAAAGCACUUUUGGCAGGAAAGAAACGGCACGGGAUAAUACCCCCGUGCAACUGACGGUACCUGCAGAAUAAGCACCGGCUAACUACGUGCCAGCAGCCGCGGUAAUACGUGGUGGGUGCAAGCGUUAAUCGGAAUUACUGGGCGUAAAGCGUGCGCAGGCGGUUCGGAAAGAAAGAUGAAAUCCCAGAGCUUAACUUUGGAACCGCAUUUUUAACUACCGAGCUAGAGUGUGUCAGAGGGAGGUGGAAUUCCGCGUAGUAGUGAAAUGCGUAGAUAUGCGAGGAACACCGAUGGCGAAGGCAGCCUCCUGGGGAUAACACUGACGCUCAUGCACGAAAGCGUGGGGAGCAAACAGGAUUAGAUACUCCUGGGUAGUCCACGCCCUAAACGAUGUCAACUAGCUGUUGGGGCUCGGGCCUUGGUAGCGCAGCUAACGCGUGAAGUUGACCGCCUGGGGAGUACGGUCGCAAGAUUAAAACUCAAAGGAAUUGACGGGGACCCGCACAAGCGGUGGAUGAUGUGGAUUAAUCUUUUGAUGCAACGCGGAAAACCUUACCUACCCUUGACAUGUCUGGAAUCCCGAAGAGAUUUGGGAGUGCUCGCAAGAGAACCGGAACACAGGUGCUACAUGGCUGUCGUCAGCUCGUGUCGUGGAGAUGUUGUUAAGUCUCGCAACGAGCGCAACCCUUGUCAUUAGUUGCUACGAAAGGGCAAUUUAAUGAGACUGCCGGUGACAAACCGGAGAAGGUGGGGAUGACGUCAAGUCCUCAUGGCCCUUGCGGCAGGGCUCACACGUCAUACAAUGCCGGACAGAGGGUCGCCAACCCGCGAGGGGAGCCAAUCCCAGAAACCCGAUCGUAGGCGCCAGCACGGCCACGCCGCCGCCAGCCGGCCAGCGGACACAGCUGCCACAGCAGCCCGCGGUCCGGAUCGCAGUCUGCAACUCGACUGCGUGAAGUCGGAAUCGCUAGUAAUCGCGGAUCAGUAUGUCGCGGGGUGAACACGUUCCCGGGUCUUGUACACACCGCCCGUCACACCAUGGAGUGGGUUUUACCAUAGUAGUUAGCCCAACCGUGGUGAGGGCGGACACACGGUGGAUUCAUGACUGGGUGAAGUCGUAACAAGGUAG